rnacentral:rRNA from 1 species
UACGUAGGUGGCAAGCGUUGUCCGGAUUUACUGGGCGUAAAGGGCGUGCAGGCGGUCUGUUAAGUUAAGGGUGAAAGCUCCCGGCUCAACUGGGAGAGGUCCUUGGAUACUGGCAGACUUGAGGGAGGUAGAGGAGAGUGGAAUUCCCGGUGUAGUGGUGAUAUGCGUAGAUAUCGUCAGGAACGCCAAUGGUGAAGACAGGUGACUGGGCUAGUUCUGACACUGAGGCACGAAAGCGUGGGGAGCGAACGGG